CAAUCGGCCCUUUUCAGGGCCAACAAAUAUUUUAUACGUUGGAAU
rfam:Trichomalopsis sarcophagae strain Alberta scaffold3843, whole genome shotgun sequence.